UGGGGAAUCUUGCGGCAAUGGGGGCAACCCUGACGCAGCGACGCCGCGUGCGGGACGGAGGCCUUCGGGUCGUAAACCGCUUUCAGCAGGGAAGAGACGAGACUGUACCUGCAGAAGAAGCCCCGGCUAACUACGUGCCAGCAGCCGCGGUAAUACGUAGGGGGCGAGCGUUAUCCGGAUUCAUUGGGCGUAAAGCGCGCGUAGGCGGCCCGGCAGGCCGGGGGUCGAAGCGGGGGGCUCAACCCCCCGAAGCCCCCGGAACCUCCGCGGCUUGGGUCCGGUAGGGGAGGGUGGAACACCCGGUGUAGCGGUGGAAUGCGCAGAUAUCGGGUGGAACACCGGUGGCGAAGGCGGCCCUCUGGGCCGAGACCGACGCUGAGGCGCGAAAGCUGGGGGAGCGAACAGGAUUAGAUACCCUGGUAGU
rnacentral:rRNA from 1 species